UUCACAAUGUAAGUCAUUCUAGCAUUUCCCACAUUCAUAUUGACGCUAAUGAAUCUCAUUAGCGUCAAUAUGAAUGUGGGAAAUGCUAGAAUGACUUACAUUGUGAAACG
rnacentral:misc_RNA from 1 species